GGGGGGGGCAAGCGUUGUUCGGAAUUACUGGGCGUAAAGGGCUCGUAGGUGGCCAACUAAGUCAGACGUGAAAUCCCUCGGCUUAACCGGGGAACUGCGUCUGAUACUGGAUGGCUUGAAUCCGGGAGAGGGAUGCGGAAUUCCAGGUGUAGCGGUGAAAUGCGUAGAUAUCUGGAGGAACACCGGUGGCGAAGGCGGCAUCCUGGACCGGUAUUGACACUGAGGAGCGAAAGCCAGGGGAGCAAACGGGAUUAGAUACCCCGGUAGUCCUGGCCCUAAACGAUGAAUGCUUGGUGUGACGGGUAUCGAUCCCUGUCGUGCCGAAGCUAACGCAUUAAGCAUUCCGCCUGGGGAGUACGGUCGCAAGGCUG
rnacentral:rRNA from 1 species